UGGGGAAUUUUGGACAAUGGGCGCAAGCCUGAUCCAGCCAUGCCGCGUGCGGGAAGAAGGCCUUCGGGUUGUAAACCGCUUUUGUCAGGGAAGAAAUCUUCUGAGUUAAUACCUCGGGAGGAUGACGGUACCUGAAGAAUAAGCACCGGCUAACUACGUGCCAGCAGCCGCGGUAAUACGUAGGGUGCAAGCGUUAAUCGGAAUUACUGGGCGUAAAGCGUGCGCAGGCGGUUUUGUAAGACAGAGGUGAAAUCCCCGGGCUCAACCUGGGAACUGCCUUUGUGACUGCAAGGCUUGAGUGCGGCAGAGGGGGAUGGAAUUCCGCGUGUAGCAGUGAAAUGCGUAGAUAUGCGGAGGAACACCGAUGGCGAAGGCAAUCCCCUGGGCCUGCACUGACGCUCAUGCACGAAAGCGUGGGGAGCAAACAGGAUUAGAUACCCUGGUAGUCCACGCCCUAAACGAUGUCAACUGGUUGUUGGGAAGGUUCCUUCUCAGUAACGUAGCUAACGCGUGAAGUUGAGCCGCCUGGGGAGUCGGCCGCAAGGUUGAAACUCAAAGGAAUUGACGGGGUCAUAGCUGUUU
rnacentral:rRNA from 1 species